ACGGACGCCCGUCAGCUCUGCCGCCACGGCCGGAGCUCCCACCCUGACUCGCACCCGCCUCGUGCGGCCGGGACGCCACCCCGGGGCCGCAGCGCUGACCCCGGGUCGGACCGAGCUGUGUGGGUGCCCCGCGGGUCGGGCAGCGCCCGUCCUCCACCGGGGAAGCCGCUCUCCGGGGACGGGGCGCUCGGUCCUCCCCAUCCCUGCAGCCAACGCCCCUCAGCCCUGACCCCCCUCUCCGAUGUCCCCGCGAGGGCCCGCCCCCUCCUCCCGGGGAAGCCCCUCUGGGCUCAGCAGCCCGGGCCGGCCUCCCAGCACCGAGAGACCCAGCACCGAGGGACCCGCUCUGAGGACCCAGCUCUGAGGCACCAGCACCGAGGACCCGCUCCGAGGGACCCAGCUCUGAGGCACCAGCACCGAGGGACCCGCUCCGAGGACCCAGCUCUGAGGCACCAGCACCGAGGACCUGCUCCGAGGGACCCAGCGUUGUGCCACCCAGCCAGGACGGCGCUGCGCGCUGCUCAGGAGCCCACUUGACAUGUGCAGACCCUAACCUGGGUGACGGACCACUUGAGCACCAUGGGCCGGGUGACGCACGGCAGGAGCUUGCCCAGAAGCUGCAGCAGCCAGGACUGGCUGUGGGAAAUGGGGGACCUCUUGUUCAGGCAGUAGGUCAUCGUGUCGUGGCUCCCUGCAGUGACACCAAGGAGACAGUCACCCACCAGCCCCUCCUGCCCCCUGUGCUCAGAGCCGCACACGGGGACGGUGCACACAGGGGGUGGGUGACGGCCGCCAAACCCACUCCCAGGACCUGUGUGGAAACAGAGUCUUUGCAUGGGUGAUGAAGGGAAGGAUGGAGAGCAGGGCUUCCUGGAGGAGGCGGCCCUGAAUCAAGGCUGGAGAGGAGGGCUUCCUGGAGGAGGCGGCCCUGAAUCAAGGAUGGAGAGGAGGGCUUCCUGGAGGAGGCGGCCCUGAAUCAAGGCUGGAGAGGAGGGCUUCCUGGAGGGGGCGGCCCUGAAUCCAAGGACAGCGUCCUUCUCAGAGACAGAAGAGGAGACGCAGACGCAGAGGAGCAGCCCCGUGAGGACGGAGGCAGAGACGGGAGGGAGGCGGCCACCAGCCCAGGGACCCUGGAGCCCCGGACGCUGGAAGAGGCAGGAGGGACCCUCCCCAGGAGCCUCCGGAGGGAGCGCGGCCCUGCGACCCUUGACCCCAGACUCUGGGCUCCAGGACGGGGGAGGACGGAUCCCGGGAGUUUAAGCUCCCAGCUUGUGAUCAUUUGUCACAGCCGCCCCAGGACAGUCACACACCUGGGAACUCAUGUUAAUUGCAGAAAAAUGAGGAAAAUAUAGACAAGUAAAAACAUUAAAA